UAAGUAAGCUUUGAUCCAGAGAUUUCCGAAUGGGGAAACCCAGCAUGAGUUAUGUCAUGUUAUCGAUAUGUGAAUACAUAGCAUAUCAGAAGGCACACCCGGAGAACUGAAACAUCUUAGUACCCGGAGGAAGAGAAAGAAAAUUCGAUUCCCUUAGUAGCGGCGAGCGAAACGGGAAGAGCCCAAACCAACAAGCUUGCUUGUUGGGGUUGUAGGACACUCUAUACGGAGUUACAAAGGACGACAUUAGACGAAUCAUCUGGAAAGAUGAAUCAAAGAAGGUAAUAAUCCUGUAGUCGAAAAUGUUGUCUCUCUUGAGUGGAUCCUGAGUACGACGGAGCACGUGAAAUUCCGUCGGAAUCUGGGAGGACCAUCUCCUAAGGCUAAAUACUCUCUAGUGACCGAUAGUGAACCAGUACCGUGAGGGAAAGGUGAAAAGCACCCCGGAAGGGGAGUGAAAUAGAACCUGAAACCGUGUGCUUACAAGUAGUCAGAGCCCGUUAAUGGGUGAUGGCGUGCCUUUUGUAGAAUGAACCGGCGAGUUACGAUUUGAUGCAAGGUUAAGCAGUAAAUGUGGAGCCGUAGCGAAAGCGAGUCUGAAUAGGGCGUUUAGUAUUUGGUCGUAGACCCGAAACCAGGUGAUCUACCCUUGGUCAGGUUGAAGUUCAGGUAACACUGAAUGGAGGACCGAACCGACUUACGUUGAAAAGUGAGCGGAUGAACUGAGGGUAGCGGAGAAAUUCCAAUCGAACCUGGAGAUAGCUGGUUCUCUCCGAAAUAGCUUUAGGGCUAGCCUCAAGUGAUGAUUAUUGGAGGUAGAGCACUGUUUGGACGAGGGGCCCCUCUCGGGUUACCGAAUUCAGACAAACUCCGAAUGCCAAUUAAUUUAACUUGGGAGUCAGAACAUGGGUGAUAAGGUCCGUGUUCGAAAGGGAAACAGCCCAGACCACCAGCUAAGGUCCCAAAAUAUAUGUUAAGUGGAAAAGGAUGUGGCGUUGCCCAGACAACUAGGAUGUUGGCUUAGAAGCAGCCAUCAUUUAAAGAGUGCGUAAUAGCUCACUAGUCGAGUGACACUGCGCCGAAAAUGUACCGGGGCUAAACAUAUUACCGAAGCUGUGGAUUGUCCUUUGGACAAUGGUAGGAGAGCGUUCUAAGGGCGUUGAAGCAUGAUCGUAAGGACAUGUGGAGCGCUUAGAAGUGAGAAUGCCGGUGUGAGUAGCGAAAGACGGGUGAGAAUCCCGUCCACCGAUUGACUAAGGUUUCCAGAGGAAGGCUCGUCCGCUCUGGGUUAGUCGGGUCCUAAGCUGAGGCCGACAGGCGUAGGCGAUGGAUAACAGGUUGAUAUUCCUGUACCACCUAUAAUCGUUUUAAUCGAUGGGGGGACGCAGUAGGAUAGGCGAAGCGUGCGAUUGGAUUGCACGUCUAAGCAGUAAGGCUGAGUAUUAGGCAAAUCCGGUACUCGUUAAGGCUGAGCUGUGAUGGGGAGAAGACAUUGUGUCUUCGAGUCGUUGAUUUCACACUGCCGAGAAAAGCCUCUAGAUAGAAAAUAGGUGCCCGUACCGCAAACCGACACAGGUAGUCAAGAUGAGAAUUCUAAGGUGAGCGAGCGAACUCUCGUUAAGGAACUCGGCAAAAUGACCCCGUAACUUCGGGAGAAGGGGUGCUCUUUAGGGUUAACGCCCAGAAGAGCCGCAGUGAAUAGGCCCAAGCGACUGUUUAUCAAAAACACAGGUCUCUGCUAAACCGUAAGGUGAUGUAUAGGGGCUGACGCCUGCCCGGUGCUGGAAGGUUAAGAGGAGUGGUUAGCUUCUGCGAAGCUACGAAUCGAAGCCCCAGUAAACGGCGGCCGUAACUAUAACGGUCCUAAGGUAGCGAAAUUCCUUGUCGGGUAAGUUCCGACCCGCACGAAAGGCGUAACGAUUUGGGCACUGUCUCAACGAGAGACUCGGUGAAAUCAUAGUACCUGUGAAGAUGCAGGUUACCCGCGACAGGACGGAAAGACCCCGUGGAGCUUUACUGUAGCCUGAUAUUGAAAUUCGGCACAGCUUGUACAGGAUAGGUAGGAGCCUUUGAAACGUGAGCGCUAGCUUACGUGGAGGCGCUGGUGGGAUACUACCCUAGCUGUGUUGGCUUUCUAACCCGCACCACUUAUCGUGGUGGGAGACAGUGUCAGGCGGGCAGUUUGACUGGGGCGGUCGCCUCCUAAAAGG
rnacentral:rRNA from 1 species